rnacentral:snRNA from 1 species
AGCUUUGCGCAGUGGCAGUGUCGUAGCCAAUGAGGUUUAUCCGAGGUGCGAUUAUUGCUAAUUGAAAACUUUUCCCAAAAACA